GAUGAACGCUGGCGGCGUGCCUAAUACAUGCAAGUCGAGCGAACGGACGAGAAGCUUGCUUCUUUGAUGUUAGCGGCGGACGGGUGAGUAACACGUGGAUAACCUACCUAUAAGACUGGGAUAACUUCGGGAAACCGGAGCUAAUACCGGAUAAUAUUUUGAACCGCAUGGUUCAAAAGUGAAAGACGGUCUUGCUGUCACUUAUAGAUGGAUCCGCGCUGCAUUAGCUAGUUGGUAAGGUAACGGCUUACCAAGGCAACGAUGCAUAGCCGACCUGAGAGGGUGAUCGGCCACACUGGAACUGAGACACGGUCCAGACUCCUACGGGAGGCAGCAGUAGGGAAUCUUCCGCAAUGGGCGAAAGCCUGACGGAGCAACGCCGCGUGAGUGAUGAAGGUCUUCGGAUCGUAAAACUCUGUUAUUAGGGAAGAACAUAUGUGUAAGUAACUGUGCACAUCUUGACGGUACCUAAUCAGAAAGCCACGGCUAACUACGUGCCAGCAGCCGCGGUAAUACGUAGGUGGCAAGCGUUAUCCGGAAUUAUUGGGCGUAAAGCGCGCGUAGGCGGUUUUUUAGUCUGAUGUGAAAGCCCACGGCUCAACCGUGGAGGGUCAUUGGAAACUGGAAAACUUGAGUGCAGAAGAGGAAAGUGGAAUUCCAUGUGUAGCGGUGAAAUGCGCAGAGAUAUGGAGGAACACCUGUGGCGAAGGCGACUUUCUGGUCUGUAACUGACGCUGAUGUGCGAAAGCGUGGGGAUCAAACAGGAUUAGAUACCCUGGUAGUCCACGCCGUAAACGAUGAGUGCUAAGUGUUAGGGGGUUUCCGCCCCUUAGUGCUGCAGCUAACGCAUUAAGCACUCCGCCUGGGGAGUACGACCGCAAGGUUGAAACUCAAAGGAAUUGACGGGGGCCCGCACAAGCGGUGGAGCAUGUGGUUUAAUUCGAAGCAACGCGAAGAACCUUACCAAAUCUUGACAUCCUUUGACAACUCUAGAGAUAGAGCCUUCCCCUUCGGGGGACAAAGUGACAGGUGGUGCAUGGUUGUCGUCAGCUCGUGUCGUGAGAUGUUGGGUUAAGUCCCGCAACGAGCGCAACCCUUAAGCUUAGUUGCCAUCAUUAAGUUGGGCACUCUAAGUUGACUGCCGGUGACAAACCGGAGGAAGGUGGGGAUGACGUCAAAUCAUCAUGCCCCUUAUGAUUUGGGCUACACACGUGCUACAGUGGACAAUACAAAGGGUAACGAAACCGCGAGGUCAAGCAAAUCCCAUAAAGUUGUUCUCAGUUCGGAUUGUAGUCUGCAACUCGACUACAUGAAGCUGGAAUCGCUAGUAAUCGUAGGUCAGCAUGCUACGGUGAAUACGUUCCCGGGUCU
rnacentral:rRNA from 1 species